rnacentral:lncRNA from 10 species
CUCUUCCACGCUCUUGUUGAGGAAGUUGAGGGAACUGGCCCGCUUCAUCCUGAGGGAAAAGGACAGCCUGGGAUUUGCCCAAGGAGGAACUCACGGGAGAUGGGGGCAGGGAGAAGGGUGGGGCUGGGGAGGGAACAGACUGGUGGGUGGUGGAGCCUGAGAGGGAUGGGGAGGUUGCCUGGGGUCAGUGGGGCACACUCUGGGUCAGGAGCUCAUCCGGGGUUGCUGGGUGGUUCUUGAGGCUCACCUUGGUGGGGGGCUCACCUGGGGUUAGGGGGCUCCUGGGGGGUGCCCCCCUGCAGCUUCUUUACCAGCAUCUCACUGCUGCGCCUCAGGGCAUCCCGGAGUUUCCCAAAGGAACCGCUGCGCCUCAAGGAGCCACUGCCAUCCUGCAGGUGGACAGGCUUGCCUCUAGGCCCCGCUGGCCACCUAGGCUCCCAGCCCGACCCGGCCCAGGCCCCGGACUCACCCCAUUCCACUCAGCUGUAGGUCCCACGUCCUCGAGGUCAGACUCAGACCGAGGCCCGGCACCCCCAGCCAUGUCUCGGCUGCUGCGGCGGUCUCCCCGCCUGCCACUGCCAUCUUUCAGCAGUUCUACCACCUUGGUCUGGCUUGCGGGGUCCAAACCCUGAGGGAGGGGCAGGGGCAUCAGGCAGUGAAUGGACCACACCCAGGGCCACACAGGUGUCUGCCCACCCCCUCCUGCAUGGAGCCCCACCUGCUUGCGGUUACGGCUGGCACAGUCCUCUAGUGUGUGCGCGGCUUCCAGCUUGCCCUGGCGCCGGUAUAGGGCCCCCAAGCUGCGCAGGGUGGUGUUGACUGUGGGGCUGUGGAUGGGACAGUCUCAAACUCCAUGUUCCCCCAGACCCAGGGCCCAUCCUGGCACCCAGCCCACAGUGGGCCCUGAGGAAGCAUGGACCUCCGGGGUAGCCAGAAUCCAUUCCUUCCCAUGUCAAGCCCUGUGCUGGGCCCACCCAGCCUCUUCUGUCCUGGGGAAAUCACCCCAGGGCUGGGGACCUGGCCCCAGGGCCCUCAUGGGAUGUUGUCACCAGGACCAAAAGCUGGGAGACCCAGAGCCAGAGAAUUAGGCUGAGAAUUGGGAGACAGAGCCUUCUUGGGACAGGUGACCUGCCUUGUACCAGCUGCCGUAUUCCCCAUAGGGGGCGCUGUCCCGGCGCUUAUCCUGGAGGAAAGAAUGGUCACAAGAAAGAUGAGCAGAACAGACCCUUGCACCUCAGGCCACAGCCCAAGACAUGUGCUAGGCCUGAAUGAUGGGCCAGGCUCCGAGGGACUCAGGAGCAGAUGACUGACCAUCCGGGGCCAGAGGUGGUUUCCCAGAGUGGGAGACACUGGGGCAGGCCCUCAAGGACUGCCAGGUUGUUUAGUGUCGCAGCCACCUGGAGGUGGGAGAACGGAAGCUUCUUGACUCAGGCCCUGCAGGACUCUGGGACCUGCAGGGGAUGGGGCACAGCCCCCACCUCCCACCCAACCCUCACUCACGGCUGGGUGGUCCUUGCCCAGUGUUUUCUCCCGGAUGGCCAGAGCAUCAUUGAGCAGGCCUCCUUGCUGGGCAACAGUGACCAUGGUAGGAGCUCACGUUAGGGGAGGCGUCUUCAUCCAACUUGCGGAUCUGGCUCAUGAACAGC